rnacentral:rRNA from 1 species
GAUGAACGCUGGCGGCGUGCCUAAUACAUGCAAGUCGAGCGAACAGACGAGGAGCUUGCUCCUCUGACGUUAGCGGCGGACGGGUGAGUAACACGUGGAUAACCUACUUAUAAGACUGGGAUAACUUCGGGAAACCGGAGCUAAUACCGGAUAAUAUAUUGAACCGCAUGGUUCAAUAGUGAAAGACGGUUUUGCUGUCACUUAUAGAUGGAUCCGCGCCGCAUUAGCUAGUUGGUAAGGUAACGGCUUACCAAGGCGACGAUGCGUAGCCGACCUGAGAGGGUGAUCGGCCACACUGGAACUGAGACACGGUCCAGACUCCUACGGGAGGCAGCAGUAGGGAAUCUUCCGCAAUGGGCGAAAGCUUGACGGAGCAACGCCGCGUGAGUGAUGAAGGUCUUCGGAUCGUAAAACUCUGUUAUUAGGGAAGAACAAAUGUGUAAGUAACUAUGCACGUCUUGACGGUACCUAAUCAGAAAGCCACGGCUAACUACGUG